CGAGGCUCGGAAGGCUGGCGGCACGCGGCCACUGCUGUUGGCAUCGGGCUCCAUGAAGAAGAUGUACCUGCUGUCCUCCUUGAGCCGUCCGCAGGACGGGAAGGCUGGGUGGCCCCAGGCGUCCAGGCGCACGCAACAGCAUGGCCAUCCAUCCUAUUAAGAAAGUUUCCUGUACCUGUUCCUUUCAAGCUGUAUAAACAUCAUUUCUCAGCAACACUUCAGGAUUCAGGAGGAACCCAGCACAGGAGUUAGGGAUCUGCAAUGACCCAUAAGGAUGACCCCACCUCAUCAUGCCUGAAAAAUAAAGCCUGGAAGGAUGAAGAGAUGGAGAAUCGAACUUUCCAUGGCUGAUGAGGAUGCUGACGGAGGGACGGGUAGACUGACCAUGAUUCAUGCCUCUGGGUGA